UACGUAGGUGGCAAGCGUUGUCCGGAUUUACUGGGCGUAAAGAGCGCGCAGGCGGUCGUUCAAGUCGCGUGUGAAAGCCCCCGGCUCAACUGGGGAGGGUCACGCGAUACUGAUCGACUCGAAGGCAGGAGAGGGAAGUGGAAUUCCCGGUGCAGUGGUGAAAUGCGUAGAUAUCGGGAGGAACACCAGUGGCGAAGGCGACUUCCUGGCCUGUUCUUGACGCUGAGGCGCGAAAGCUAGGGGAGCAAACGGG
rnacentral:rRNA from 1 species